CGGAUCCUGAUUUUGAUUUGGACAUCAAAGAGGAAGUUCAAGAAGAAUGUUCCAAAUUCGGCCCUGUCAAGCACAUCUAUGUGGACAAGAAGUGAUGCUGCACUUCCCGCAAGUAGAAGUGCUGGUUACAUUACUUGCGGUUUGAAACUGUGGCAGCAGCAGCUAGUACACAACGUUCAAUGCAUAUGUGAUGGUUUGCGUGUAGCUUGAUAUCAGCUGUGUUCAUGCAACCCCAUGAGUAUGAAUCGAAGUUCAGAGGCAGUGCGUAAAUGAGGAUUCACUAAGGAAUUCUUUAAAAUAUUUUGGCUUAGGUAGGUUUUGAAUCCGUGAAAUGAAUGU